CACGGGUGAGUAACACGUAUCCAACCUGCCGUCUACUCUUGGCCAGCCUUCUGAAGGAAGAUUAAUCCAGGAUGGCAUCAUGAGUUCACAUGUCCGCAUGAUUAAAGGUAUUUUCCGGUAGACGAUGGGGAUGCGUUCCAUUAGAUAGUAGGCGGGGUAACGGCCCACCUAGUCUACGAUGGAUAGGGGUUCUGAGAGGAAGGUCCCCCACAUUGGAACUGAGACACGGUCCAA
rnacentral:rRNA from 1 species